rnacentral:rRNA from 1 species
GUUUCCGUAGGUGAACCUGCGGCAGGAUCAUUA